rnacentral:rRNA from 1 species
GUACACUCCUACGGGAGGCAGCAGUGGGGAAUAUUGCACAAUGGGCGCAAGCCUGAUGCAGCCAUGCCGCGUGUAUGAAGAAGGCCUUCGGGUUGUAAAGUACUUUCAGCGGGGAGGAAGGCGAUAAGGUUAAUAACCUUGUUGAUUGACGUUACCCGCAGAAGAAGCACGGGCUAACUCCGUGCCAGCAGCCGCGGUAAUACGGAGGGUGCAAGCGUUAAUCGGAAUUACUGGGCGUAAAGCGCACGCAGGCGGUCUGUCAAGUCGGAUGUGAAAUCCCCGGGCUCAACCUGGGAACUGCAUUCGAAACUGGCAGGCUAGAGUCUUGUAGAGGGGGGUAGAAUUCCAGGUGUAGCGGUGAAAUGCGUAGAGAUCUGGAGGAAUACCGGUGGCGAAGGCGGCCCCCUGGACAAAGACUGACGCUCAGGUGCGAAAGCGUGGGGAGCAAACAGGAUUAGAUACCCCAGUAGUCCCA